rnacentral:rRNA from 1 species
CCUACGGGAGGCAGCAGUGGGGAAUAUUGCACAAUGGGCGAAACCCUGAUGCAGCGAUGCCGCGUGAAUGAAGACGGCCUUCGGGUUGUAAAGUUCUGUCUCAGGGGACGAAAAUUACCGUACCCUGCACGAAAGCUCCGGCCAACUACGUGCCAGCAGCCGCGGUAAUCCGUAGGGAGGAAGCGUUGUGCGGAAUUACUGGGUGUAAAGGGCGCUUAGGCGGGAGGAUAAGUUGAAUGUGAAAUCUAUGGGCUCAACCCAUAGCUGCGUUCGAAACUGUUCUUCUUGAGUGAAGUAGAGGGAGGCGGAAUUCCUGGGGUAGCGGUGAAAUGCGUAGAUAUUAGGAGGAACACCAGUGGCGAAGGCGGCAUGCUGGGCUUUUACUGACGCUGAGGCUCGAAAGCGUGGGUAGCAAACAGGAUUAGAUACCCCAGUAGUC